rnacentral:rRNA from 1 species
UACAUGUGGGGCAAGCGUUGUUCGGAAUUACUGGGCAUAAAGGGUGCGUAGGCGGUUUGUUAAGUCACUGGUGAAAGUUUUCGGCCCAACCGGAAAAUUGCCUGUGAUACUGGCGAACUUGAGUGCGUGAGGGGUGGGGGGAACGAGCAGUGUAGCGGUGAAAUGCGUAGAUAUUGCUCGGAAGGCCGGAGCCGAAGGGGCCCCACUGGUACGUAACUGACGCUGAGGCACGAAAGUGUGGGGAGCAAACAGG